rnacentral:rRNA from 1 species
GCGCCGGUAAGGUGAUAUGAACCGUUAUAACCGGCGAUUUCCGAAUGGGGAAACCCAGUGUGACUCGUCACACUAUCAUUAACUGAAUCCAUAGGUUAAUGAGGCGAACCGGGGGAACUGAAACAUCUAAGUACCCCGAGGAAAAGAAAUCAACCGAGAUUCCCCCAGUAGCGGCGAGCGAACGGGGAGGAGCCCAGAGCCUGAAUCAGCAUGUGUGUUAGUGGAAGCGUCUGGAAAGGCGCGCGAUACAGGGUGACAGCCCCGUACACAAAAGCGCAUGUGCUGUGAGCUCGAUGAGUAGGGCGGGACACGUGGUAUCCUGUCUGAAUAUGGGGGGACCAUCCUCCAAGGCUAAAUACUCCUGACUGACCGAUAGUGAACCAGUACCGUGAGGGAAAGGCGAAAAGAACCCCGGCGAGGGGAGUGAAAAAGAACCUGAAACCGUGUACGUACAAGCAGUGGGAGCACAGGUUUACCUGUGUGACUGCGUACCUUUUGUAUAAUGGGUCAGCGACUUAUAUUCUGUAGCAAGGUUAACCGAAUAGGGGAGCCGGAGGGAAACCGAGUCUUAAUUGGGCGUUAAGUUGCAGGGUAUAGACCCGAAACCCGGUGAUCUAGCCAUGGGCAGGUUGAAGGUUGGGUAACACUAACUGGAGGACCGAACCGACUAAUGUUGAAAAAUUAGCGGAUGACCUGUGGCUGGGGGUGAAAGGCCAAUCAAACCGGGAGAUAGCUGGUUCUCCCCGAAAGCUAUUUAGGUAGCGCCUCGUGAAUUCAUCUCCGGGGGUAGAGCACUGUUUCGGCUAGGGGGCCAUCCCGGCUUACCAACCCGAUGCAAACUGCGAAUACCGGAGAAUGUUAUCACGGGAGACACACGGCGGGUGCUAACGUCCGUCGUGAAGAGGGAAACAACCCAGACCGCCAGCUAAGGUCCCAAAGUCAUGGUUAAGUGGGAAACGAUGUGGGAAGGCCCAGACAGCCAGGAUGUUGGCUUAGAAGCAGCCAUCAUUUAAAGAAAGCGUAAUAGCUCACUGGUCGAGUCGGCCUGCGCGGAAGAUGUAACGGGGCUAAACCAUGCACCGAAGCUGCGGCAGCGACACUCAGGUGUUGUUGGGUAGGGGAGCGUUCUGUA